rnacentral:piRNA from 1 species
UCCACCUGUAUGGAUGCUCUAUGAAACCCAC